ensembl:antisense Gm17590 predicted gene, 17590
AGAUGGUUCACCGCUCAAUCAGGAGAGCAUCACAGACAGAGUGUGAAGAGCACAGCUCUAGAGAUUUGCCCUGACAGGAGGGAACGGAGAGAAGGAAGAGAGAAACAGGAUUUCUGCACUGAAAGGAGGAGCCCACUGGAUGGCUUCACCCAUCAACAAAUCGGAGGUGAACUACCACUUUGACAAGCAGGAUGGCCUGAUCACCGCCCCAUGAAAACUGCAGAAACAUGUUUGAUGUGUGAGACGCGUGGACACUAAGGGAGACUGCAGGCAGCCUCAUCCGAUCAUUUUAUUCCCCCUUCUAAGCAAAUCUGCUUUUCAAGGACAUAGUUUAUUUUACCUUGUGUGCACGCCACACGACCUGCAGCCCAGAUGUGCUGGCUCCCUCCCCGUACGGUGGGGCUAUGCCAGUACUCUAAGGCACCACUCAGGUCCCCCUGGCCUGCUCCUUUUUAACCUGAUACCCUGCACCAACUGUUUCCACCGUCAGAAUUUCUGUUAAAAACUCCAUAGCCCACCGCGGGUUGGGGAGUGCUGUGACCAGGAUUUACAAUGCACAAGUAAAGAAAUUAAUAGAGGAAAAAGUAAAACCCAAAACGACAACAACAAAACUCUCCAUAGUCCUGAUCCUCCUGGGGAUAAAGUCCACCCCGAGGGUCUUCCUUCACUAAAGAGGUGCUUCAUGUUUACCAGUUAGGACAGUGGGGGAAUCACUCGCCAAACGAAGUUACCACAAAUCAGAAGCUGUAAGGACCAGGAACACAGAUGUAGGACAGGUGGGUCUGACCAAGCCCUCAAUCAAGAUAGAAAUGGCAGGCGGGCACGUAAAAGACCAACGAUUCCGUGAGAAAAUGGAGUUCUUACUUUCUGCGAAACAUUUCUGCAAAGAUGCAACCGACACUCCAGAGGUCCACAGGGGUGGCAUAGCUGGACUGGAGCAGGACUUCUGGGGCUCGGUACCACAGCGUGACGACCUGCAACAGCAAAGGGACCUAGUCAUUACUGAGGCAGCCAGCUGUUGAAUUACACACCCAUCUCGAGUGGCCCGAGGACAAGAUCUAGUUCAUACAGAACUCCUAUACCUCGUGGUAACAACAUGACAGAGGCAAGAAGCACACAGGACUCCACAGGCCAGGAAAUUGCAUCAUCCCACACCCUGGGCUCCCAUUUCAGACUGUCCCAGUGGGACCAGGAUGGCACAUAACACAUAACACAGGCUUCAGAGAGCAAAG